GACGAACGCUGGCGGCGUGCCUAAUACAUGCAAGUAGAACGCUGAAGGAGGAGCUUGCCCUUCUGGAUGAGUUGCGAACGGGUGAGUAACGCGUAGGUAACCUGCCUGGUAGCGGGGGAUAACUCUUGGAAACGAUAGCUAAUACCGCAUAAGAGUUGAUGAUGCAUGACAUUCACUUAAAAGGUGCAAUUGCAUCACUACCAGAAGGACCUGCGUUGUAUUAGCUAGUUGGUGGGGUAACGGCUUACCAAGGCGACGAUACAUAGCCGACCAGAGAGGGGGAUCGGCCACACUGGGACUGAGACACGGCCCAGACUCCUACGGGAGGCAGCAGUAGGGAAUCUUCGGCAAUGGACGGAAGUCUGACCGAGCAACGCCGCGUGAGUGAAGAAGGUUUUCGGAUCGUAAAGCUCUGUUGUAAGAGAAGAACGAGUGUGAGAGUGGAAAGUUCACACUGUGACGGUAUCUUACCAGAAAGGGACGGCUAACUACGUG
rnacentral:rRNA from 1 species